UACGUAGGGGGCAAGCGUUGUCCGGAAUCAUUGGGCGUAAAGCGCGCGUAGGCGGCCCGGUAAGUCCGUUGUGAAAGUCAAAGGCUCAACCUUUGAACGCCGAUGGAUACUGCCGGGCUAGAGUCCGGAAGAGGCGAGUGGAAUUCCUGGUGUAGCGGUGGAAUGCGCAGAUAUCAGGAGGAACACCCGUAGCGAAGGCGGCUCUCUGGGACGGUACUGACGCUGAGACGCGAAAGCGUGGGGAGCGAACAGG
rnacentral:rRNA from 1 species